CAGGACUCGCAAGACUCCCGUAAACCACUGUGAACUUACCUACAACCCGUUGCCUCGGCGGGUGCUCCGGGCGCGUCUUCGGGCGCUCCGGGGCGCUCCAGCCCGCCGGCGGCCCCCUAAACUCUGUCUCUGUAACGUUGGCAUCUCCGAGCAGACUAUAAACGAGUCA
rnacentral:misc_RNA from 1 species